rnacentral:lncRNA from 1 species
AGCUCUUCUCAGGUAGUUCAUUCAAAUCAACCAUAAAGAAAUCAAAUAAUUUAUUAAAAUAACUUGAUAUGUAGGUUUGGUCCGCUUGGGACCAUAACACAGAUCAUGGAACUAUAUUUACCAGUGAGAAGAUAAAGAAUUUCUUAGGUCAAUAUAUAUAAGGUCAAAUUAUAUAAUCUACACCAUGCUCAGACUAAUGAUCAAGCUGAGGCAACUAAUAAGUUGGUUGAAAAGGUGCUAGGCAAGAUGGAAUGGACAGUACGAUCAUUAAGGAUGGCACAACAUGGCUUACUUGCUGAAGAAUGUGACCAAGCCAUGUAUAAAGAAUUAAAAGAGCUCGAUGAGUUAAGGUUGAGUAUCUUAGGUCAUUUAGAAGCUUAAAAAAAUAAAGUGGAAAGGUCAUACAAUAAGA